rnacentral:rRNA from 1 species
CUUGGUCAUUUAGAGGAAGUAAAAGUCGUAACAAGGUUUCCGUAGGUGAACCUGCGGAAGGAUCAUUACAAGUGAGGCUACCGAACGUUGGAAACAGCGGUUAGGAGCUUACACCCACCCGUGUUUACAUACUAUUGUUGCUUUGGCGGGCCGUGGCCUCCACUGCGGGCUCUGCUCGUGUGUGCCCGCCAGAGAACCAAACUCUGAAUGUUAGUGAUGUCUGAGUACUAUCUAAUAGUUAAAACUUUCAACAACGGAUCUCUUGGUUCUGGCAUCGAUGAAGAACGCAGCGAAAUGCGAUAAGUAAUGUGAAUUGCAGAAUUCAGUGAAUCAUCGAAUCUUUGAACGCACAUUGCGCCCUGUGGUAUUCCGCAGGGCAUGCCUGUUCGAGCGUCAUUUAACCACUCACGCCUAGCGUGGUAUUGGGGCACGCGGUCUCCGCGGCCCUCAAAAUUAGUGGCGGCGCCGGUGGGCUCUAAGCGUAGUACAUACUCCCGCUAUAGAGUUCCCCCCGGUGGCUCGCCAGAACCCCCAAUUUUUUACAGGUUGACCUCGGAUCAGGUAGGGAUACCCGCUGAACCUAAGCAUAUCAAUAAGCGGAGGA